CGGUAAUUCCAGCUCCAAUAGCGUAUACUAAAGUUGUUGCAGUUAAAAAGCUCGUAGUUGGAUUUCUGUGGGGACGGAGCGGCCGGCCGCACAUCGCGGUUCGAGCUAGCGCUUUCCCUAUAUCCUGCCGCGAACCGUGCUACCAUUAGUUUGGUGGCGCUGGGGAUCGGCUCGAUUACUUUGAGAAAAAUAGAGUGUUCAAAGCAGGCCACACGCCUUGAAUAAGUUAGCAUGGAAUAAUAACUAAGGACUUCGGUUCUAUUUUGUUGGUGUUCGGGACUGAAGUAAUGAUUGAUAGGGACAGUUGGGGCGGUCUGUAUUCCAAAGCGAGAGGUGAAAUUCUUAGACCUUCGGAAGACAAACAGCUGCGAAAGCGUUCCGCAAGGAUGUUCCCUUUGAUCAAGAACGAAAGUUGGGGGAUCGAAGACGAUCAGAUACCGUCGUAGUCUCAACUAUAAACUAUACCAGCUAGGGAUCGGCCAACGUUAUUUUAUACCGACUUGGUCGGCACCUUAUGAGAAAUCAAAGCAUCUGGGUUCCGGGGGGAGUAUGGUCGCAAGGCUGAAACUUAAAGGAAUUGACGGAAGGGCACCACCAGCCGUGGAGCCUGUGGCUUAAUUUGACUCAACACGGGAAAACUUACCAGGUCCAGACAUAGUAAGGAUUGACAGAUUGAUAGCUCUUUCUUGAUUCUGUGGGUGGUGGUGCAUGGCCGUUCUUAGUUGGUGGAGUGGUUUGUCUGGUUAAUUCCGUUAACGAACGAGACCCCAGCCUGCUAAAUAGCGCGCGUGAGCUUUGCUCGCGGCGAGCUUCUUAGAGGGACUAUGAUGCGCAAUAGCACAUGGAAGUUUGGGGCAAUAACAGGUCUGUGAUGCCCUUAGAUGUUCUGGGCCGCACACGGGCUACACUGGCGCCUGCAACGAGCAUAUCAGCUGGCCCGAGAGGGUCUUGGCUAAUCUUUUGAACCGGCGCCGUGCUUGGGAUUGACCUUUGCAAUUGUUGGUCAUGCAACGAGGAAUGCCUUGUAAACGCGAGUCAUCAGCUCGCAUUGAAUACGUCCCUGCCCUUUGUACACACCGCCCGUCGCUCCUACCGAUGAAUGUUCCGAUGAAAUUUUCGGGGAGUGCCUGUGAACUUGGCUCUGCCUUGCGAACGGGAAGCUCAAAGUCACUUAAAUCUGAACAUUUCGAGGAAGGAGAAGUCGUAACAAGGUAGCCG
rnacentral:rRNA from 1 species